GGUAACAGUCUCUCUCAGGUGAUCCUGCUCGGUCGCGGCGCCAUGCCUCUCGAUCGUCAGGUGGCCAUGGGGAACUUUGGCAAUCAGGACAUCCUGGCCGUCUUCUACCGCCUGCGCUUCGCGGUUAGCAACCACCUAGCGGCCGCCAGGCGAGCCCGGAACCCGGCAAUGGACGUGGGAGGAGGAAGAGGAGGCGCCCGGUUGGUCAACGGUCGUAUUCGCCCACGCGGGUUCUGAGUGACUUGGCCGACUGCUCGCCCUCGCCGGUGUGUUUUGACUACAGUGCCAAAAGUCAGAGCUGGGCAAACAUAACCUACAGGAUAUUUCUUUUCAUCAGUUGCUUGGAAUCACGUAGUGUUCACUAAAGUUUUACCUGUACGUCCAUGAUCCCAUGAAGAUAAGAGACAGGUACUUUCAUAGCUGGGAUGACAGUACCAACUGCUACUAAGAGGAGGAUGAGACACUUAGACCACUGUGACAAAGCACAAGCUCUUCAGGCAAAUGUAAGCCGCAGGACCAGGAAGCUAGAAACUACAGACUGAAGUGCCUUCUGCACCCUCCUUUCCAGCAUUCAGUUCACACGCAGAGUGGCUGGCAGGUGAUGUGUGCAGUGUGCAGAAAGGCAGGUAGGGCCAGGACAUAAGUGGGCCAGACUUGCCAGUCUGCUACUGCCUGGCCUACAGCCAGGCAGGGCUGGGCAGGAGCCAUCAGGAGCUUUGAUGCUCUGCUCCAGCUUUCAGAUGGAAAAGGCAGCCACCAAGAUGUCAGGGUCAAUCUGGCAGCGGGGAUGAGAAGGCUUCAUGAAGAGGUCUACCAAGCACUGUUCUGGGUGCAGAAGACAUGAAGCCUGGGCAGUGCUGCAUCAGACCAGAUGGAAUUCCAGAGUGCUGAGUCUGGCCAGUGCUGGCUGUGGCACCAGAAGAGAGUGACAGUGCCAGACUAUUUGGAGCUGAGAGCAUUGAGCCCACCCUGUCUGCCCUGCUCAAGCCUUCCAUGGAUGUGUUGUGAAUGUGGUAUGAAAAACUCUGAAAAGACCCAGGUGCUUCUCUUCAAACUGCUGGACUAUUUGGACACCUGCUCCAUGCUCUGAGAUGUGUUCUAAUGAAGCUCUUCUAGGAUUUCUCAUAGUUUUCCUCAUUCUGUGUUAAAAUUGUCACAUAACAGAUUUGUUCCCAUCUUCCCCUGUUCACCACACAUGCCCUGUCAUUUUCUUUUCUCCCUAGGUUUCAAAUGUAGGAGCAAGAGUUUUCAGAGCCUACAUUCUCCAUGUUCAGGUCCAGUCCCUGUGCUUCUCCAUGGCAAGUCAUUCUCCCUGUGUUUGCUCUGCCUCUCACUGGAUAGAUGUAGGUGAGAGAUGUGCACCCCAGUACUCCGUGUUUUGAAUCCCAAGAAUACAUCUACAUUGAUGGCAUAGCUAUGAGCAUAGCUGCCUUCCUCAUUCAUCACAUGCCUGUGUUCAUUUUGUCAGUGGUGAAUGUUGUGCUGUGCAACCUUCUAGCCUAGAUCUGGCCCCAGCAGCCUGUAGUAUAUGAGGCACCUUAGAGAAAAGGUCUAAAUGGGCCUUAUAAGAAAAUAAGAAUACUUUCUGUUGCAUUGUGUUUUGAGUCUUUAAGUUACAGGCACAAAGCUGCAUGAAUUAAACAUUCCUAAAGUCUGUCUACUCAGCCUCUUACACUAGUCUGUCCACAGGAAGGGCAUUGAAAUAAAAGGAAAGAUGAAGAGCAGUCCAGUCCAGCUUAAGCAAGUGUCUGAUGUGAUGUGUUAUCCCUAGGAUGUGGUGGAAGUGAACACUGACAGGCAUGCUUAGUCUCAGAGACCACAACACCCAGACUUGAGUACUCUGUCCUCACCAUUGCUUUCCUGCUUCCAGACAGUUUUGCUUGGUGACAAGUUUCCUGGUAAGGGGCAGCUGACUUCUAGUGGGAACACCAAUUAUAGGACUUUCCAUGUAAGUCUCUAACAGUUGAUGUGUCUUUAGGAUGCAUGCGAGAAGUGACAGGUACUACGCCAAUGUUCAGCAUACCACAUCAGCCUGUGAUUAACCAUCAGAGUGUCCAUUAGCAUGUAGCCACUUUAGUGUUCAGUCUGCAGCCUCUCGGGUGGAGGUACAUUAGACCCGCUCUUCCCUGGCCCCUCUGGAGCUGGCCAGCUUUUCCUGUUUGUAUACUGUACAGUGCACUCUUCUGCUUCUACCUACAAGUAGAGUGAGUGUGAAUGGACAUGCUGCUGAAAGUGGCCUUCAUGCAGAAGACCCAUUUUCAGAUUCUUGUUCUGAGGACUCUGGGCUUUCUGAAAGCUCUGAGCUAUUUCAUUUCCUUAAAACCUCCCAUAGCUGGGUUAAAUGCUUUUAUUGCUGCCUCCUGUGUUGAAUGUGUGUACUGUCAAGAUUUGGAAGCGGGUAUAAAAUGUGAGUACACUAUCACUACAAGUAGUCAUUGGAAAAAGACCUCCUUUGGUCAUUCUUCACAGCUCAUUUCUUCAUGGUUUAUACUAUAAUGUUGCUUUUGAAUAGUUUCCUUGCUACUUAGCAAAAAGCAAAGGACCACUUUCCAAGUAACUGUCCAUCUGCCAGACCUUCCUUAAGUGGCUAGUCUGCCUCUUGUUGCUUUACGGGCUAGUUGCUCCCAUGCUCACCCUGUGUCGCCAGAUAGCAAGCUUCCCUGCUUUUGUUACCAACAAAGACAAGUCAACAGACUGGAGAUUCUCUGUGUACAACUCCAGGUCAAGUACUGACAGACUACCUGGUAGGUUAGAGAGUGAUGCAGACUUAACAAAACGCAGCUCUGAGGGUACCUGAUUCUUCAUGUUGACUUAGGGGACAGCAAGAGGGUCCCAUAGUUGGUGGCAUUGAACUAAAGCCUUCUGUUUGCAUGUAAUCACAAGAAUAGCACCCCUUUCCAGUUAGCCCACUUACUGAGCACCCAUCUUUUGCCAGGCAGCAUGCUUAUGUCUCAACUUUCGAGUAUUGCCCGUUCCCUAGCAAGUAGGACUAACUGUCCCCAUUUCACAGAUGAGGAAACUGAAGCUUAGGGUAGUCACAGCAUCCAAAGAAGUCCUACAUCUCAGUAACCAGGCUGAGCUUUUUGUAUAAUCCCUGGUAGGGACAGUCUGAAUGUCAAAAGGUGAUUCUUAACCUUCUUUGUUAAGAGUAUGUUGAGUAUUGACUGCCAUUUCCCCCCCCCCUCACAUUUAGGAUGCAAAUCAAAAUACCCAGAGUCUUAUCCUUUGAGCUGUGGACUUUAUAGGACACAGGCAUUAACACUGAAGGUCCCCUGAGAAAGAAAAGGGCUCAGUUCUCAUCUCUCUCUCUUUUUUUUUUUCUCUCUCUCGUGGUCUUUACCAGGUUAGCUUUUUGUUAUAUUUUGUUUUGCUUUGCUUUUUUUUUGUUUUUUUGUUUUGUUUUGCUUUGCUUUUUUUUUGUUGUUGUUUUAACUGUUUGCUUGGCUAGCCAUUGAGUAUUUCUCUCUGCUUGUUCUUAAUCUGAAGCAGCAGUUCAGAGCUGCUAACAAGAAGAAAGCUACAUGCUGCUAUUUGUAAUUGGUAUGUGCAUGAGCAAAAGACCCCCGCCCCCCCCCCCCCAAGCAAUU